GUCACAGGUUUUAGUGACACAUGCCACUCUCUACUGGCACAUGCCACUGAAAACCGGAAGUGCCACCGGAAGUGUCACUGAGCAUAGUGGCAUGUGCCAAUGGCAUCUGUGCGUCAGAUGUCAUGUCACUUAAUGUUAAAACUGCUUCUGCAUGUUUGUUUGCUAGGCAUGCUGUUGCUUUAGGCUCAUUGGUUGUAUUUUGUCACGCUGGUAACAUUACUCUGUAAACCUACCACAGCAGGCUUGUUUUUAAUUUGUUGUUUAAGGCUGUCUGAUAUGAAACAGGUUGCUGCUUAAGACUCAUCUAGUAUUGGGAAUUCUGUUUCAUUAAACUUAUCUAUUUUUAUUUCUAUUUGAUAUGCUGUUGCUUUAAUCAGUGUACCUGUAAUGUGCUUGAUACUUAAAGGGCAGUAUGUAGAUAUUGCUACCAAAGGUUAUAAUGAUAACGAUUAUCUGGAUAAGGGCAACAUGGGCUGCCUAAACGUCGGGUAUUGACCACAUGCUGUACUGCAUUAAAGGGGCAUGCUGCUCUUCUCAGCUGCUGAUUAAAGAGCACCCCUUCGCUGCUUCUGUUCUUCUUAAAGGGCAUGCUGCCGCAGUCUACGUUAUUUCAGAAGGUCUUUGCUUUAAAGCUGUUAGGGUACUGGGAUUUUGCUUGCUUUUAGGGCUCAUCUAGUGCUCAGUAUCAUGUUUGUUGCUAGACCAGCUUGUUUCUUUAAGCUAUUGGUUGUACUGCAAGUACUGGUACUUGGUAAAUUCAUAACAGCAAUAAGCUAAUAUUUAACCUGUUGUUAGGCCAUCUGAUUGUUCUCGAAAUACGCUUGCUGCUUAUGGCUCAUCUAGUUAUUGGGACUGCUAUUUCCUUAAGUUUCUCUGACUACUGCAACAUGCUUGUUGCAAAGCAAUCGAGUGCAUUGGUAAGUAUUUCUGUCUUCACUCACGUGGGUUGUCAGAUUGAAGACACGUAACAUAACGAGCACAAUGUCAAUGGGAGACGACAACCUGUAAACUGAUGAGUUGAUUUGAGUUAUCAUAUGCUGUUUCUAUAGUUUUUAAAUGGAUGCUGAAGCUUUAGGUCAGGUAGAAUAUGCGAUCUCUCUCUGAACCGUUCAUUGCUCGCUUCUAUGGCUGCAGUACAUGUGUUUGCUGCAAAUUAGGCUGUCAUUUUUAGUGAGUCAACUAGCUGUCAAUUUUUCUGCAUCUUUUUCAGGUAUUGCAUAAAAGGGGCUUGCUGCUCUUCUUGGCUGCUUAUAAAGAAGAGCACCCCUUCACUGCCUUCUCCGUAAGGGGCUGCUGCCCCAGUCUCUGCUAUUUUCAGAAGGAUAUGCUUCUUUCAGGAUGCCAUCAGUUGUGGUUUGGGUGGUUCUGGCGUAUCGUUUGUGUUGGGGGGGUUAUUAUUGUUGCUCUCCCUGCUCAUUCAUGACAGGCUGCAUGGAUGGGCAGGGAGUUUUUGCACAGAACAGAACCAUACCGCCAAACCAAAACCUUAUGCUAAGUAUCUAUCUUUUGACGAUAGUGGUCCUGACAGAACUAUACUAAUGGCAGCUAAAGUAAUUGCGAAUGUUUAAUCUGGUAAAACUGAUUUUUUUAGUGAUAACGUUAAUUCAAAAUGAAAAUGCAGCAUUCAUUUGUUACUUAGCCAAACCUAACGUUAAUUAUUUGAAAUGAUUGAGUCUGAUUUUUUUUUUUGCACCAACUUACAUUUGGUAUUGUGCGUGUGCAAUAAACAAAUUGCAUUUUUAUGUUGUAGUAACAUAUGAGGAAAACUACAGCAAUGCUUUUCAAAGUACAGUACCAAGGAAAGAAGUACAUCAAACUCAAUGGAGCAUCAUAUCCAGAAUUUCUCAGGGAGGCAGUGACACAUCUGAAAGAAUCAGCCUUGAAAGUUUUAAAAAUGCUUGAUUUUAAUUGAAUUCUUCAGGACGUCAUAUGUAAUAUGACGUAUGGACGUGCUCCCCCUAUGGAGAAAAGAGCACAGUAUGCAUUGGGGAUAGUAACACUGUUCCCCUCUCUAAAAGAUCCCUACUCCAAAAAAGGCUAUGAACACUUUUUUGACAUAGACAGCAAUGAGGGCUACAUUGCCUGGAAGAUUAAAAACACACAGCGAGAACUCCGCAAUGGAGGUACCAGUGGGGGUAGGAGAAGGAGCUCUCACACUACGAACAACAGCAGACCAAACUUAGAGAGAGAAGUGACUAAAGUGCAGCAGUUGGAGUGAGACCAGUGUCGUGAGGCCAUAUCUCUACUGAAACACACCACAGACAACGAACAGAUCUUCUUGAAAAUGAGAGAAACCUUCCAACACAGACAAAAGUUGAUCCAUGAUCCUGAGCAAUGCAGCACAGUGCUUACUGUGUUCCCAAGGUUCCUUGACACAAAAGGCCUGGUGGUGCAAGACUUUGAUCCGUUGUUUGGAGCUGAGACCUCAUCAAAACUCCUUGAGAAAUGGGAUUUCCUGAAGGGCAAAGUAAUAGAGCAAGCCAAGGACCUCAGCAAGACACCCCUGCUUGAUCACCUCAUCCAGUCUGCAGAGGAGAACACUGAGGAUG